rnacentral:misc_RNA from 1 species
AACGCACAUUGCGCCUUCUGGUAUUCCGGAAGGCAUGCUUGUUUGAGUAUCAGUAACAACCUCAGCCAAGUUUUUCUCGCUUCUGGCGCAGAAAGCAAAAGCUGGAUUUGAGCAAAGUCCCUUGGGAUCAAUUGAACGACCUUCGGGGAGCAAUUGAGCCGGUGGGGGAUGCUUGAAAUACAGGUUCGGGCUGACCAAAUGUCCUGGGCUACAAGCAUUUCAUACUUGAUCCCGUUAAACGGAUCAUUUCCAUUGCUGCAGCCAACACAAACAGGAUCAAACGUGUCCAGUGUCCGACUGAUGCAGGAAGUUGGAACAACAGAGCGAUCUGUGGUUCCUUUCUAACUCGAUCUCAAAUCAAGCAAGACUACCCGCUGAACUUAA